CGUCUGAAGUCACUAAGCUUCGGGGUUCAGGAGAGAGUUGUUGGCUCGCAUUAUUCUUUGGAGGCGGUGGCUGCCCGCCAGAGGCAGCUGCGGGUCGUUUGCAUUGCAGGGAGUCUAUGAUUUUUGAGGGAGCUCUUCCUUCCCUUAGAUCGUCCGCUUCUUUAGAGUGGGCCUCUGCCUCGCACGGAUUGAAUUCGCCCUUUAAUCUUUCCCCACCCUCCCUCUCGCUGGCCCACUCCGCAGUUUAACAAGCUUUGCAGACCGUUCCAGGAGGCUCAUCCCCGGAGAUCUGACAGCAGCUGGCGGACAAAGGAGGAAUUAUUUCAUAGGCUCUGGCUGGAUAGAGAUUAUUUCAGCCAUUACUUCAGAAAUGAUGGCAAAGGAGGAGUAAGUGGGCCAUUGCAACAUCAUCUUUAAACCCUGCACUGGACGGCAGCUUCCUACAAGACACCAGCCAAGCGAACGGGAGGGUCAGAAAGAAACUGGAGCUCCCUUUGAAGCCAGACUGCCUUUAUUCUUCACCUAACUCGGUGCUCUGUUGGACAGGAGCAUUCGUAUUGAAGUCUGCUUAGUGGCUGCCACCCAGAAUCCAGUGAGGCUGUUUGCCAGGGAAACCUGAGGCCUCGUGCAUGUUAGGUGAUCUGUCACUGAGCCCAGCCCCAGCCCUUGCAGGAUGAUUCCUAUCCACGGUGGUGUUGGAGAACCACUGACUAAAAGAAGAAACAAACAAAAGGAUUAUGUCAUAUGUGACUUUUCCUGCGGUUAUACUAUCAACCCCAGCUGCACACAGGUGACAAAAUAGGGAGAAAACAUGAAGUCCUGUGCUUCUCCACUUGGGUGUCUGCAAGAUCGAGUGAUCAGAGUGCAGCCGGAUGACUCGCUCUCUCAUGGACUGUCACUGCCACUUUAGGGUGACUCACAAACCCUGUCCAUCCAGGCAUGGGUGCUGGCAGAUACUGUCUAGAAAGUCCUGGUCUCACUAGCCAAACUCCAGCAAUUACAAUGACCAGAGUGUAGAGAAAAGCAUAGAAGAAAGACAUGAACUUUCCAGGCGCUGAGGACACAGAGUUAGCAAAACCCACAAAACUUGACUCUUCUGAGCACCCUUACCAUCAUCUCAGCAGCACUGAUGGAUGGAACAGUGAAUGAAUGUAAUCAGAAUCAAAAGGAAACAACGUUGUGAAAAAGGCACCCUGCUCACCGCUAUAGUACCAUGGAGAAGGAGAGGAAGUAAAGUCAAGAGGGGUAACCAUGCAGGAAUUUUCACUAGUAUCUGAAACACAAC